rnacentral:rRNA from 1 species
ACGUGAUCUGAGUUCAGACCGGAGUAAUCCAGGUCAGUUUCUAUCUAUAAAGAGUCUUUUCUAGUACGAAAGGACCGAAAAGACAAGGCCCAUAUUUUAAACAAGCCUUACCUAUUAACCAAUGUAUAAAACUCAAUAUUAAAAUUAGCUAUUACAAAUUUCAAAAUAAGAAAA